AUUGAACGCUGGCGGCAUGCCUUACACAUGCAAGUCGAACGGCAGCACGGGUGCUUGCACCUGGUGGCGAGUGGCGAACGGGUGAGUAAUACAUCGGAACAUGUCCUGUAGUGGGGGAUAGCCCGGCGAAAGCCGGAUUAAUACCGCAUACGAUCUACGGAUGAAAGCGGGGGACCUUCGGGCCUCGCGCUAUAGGGUUGGCCGAUGGCUGAUUAGCUAGUUGGUGGGGUAAAGGCCUACCAAGGCGACGAUCAGCAGCUGGUCUGAGAGGACGACCAGCCACACUGGGACUGAGACACGGCCCAGACUCCUUCGGGAGGCAGCAGUGGGGAAUUUUGGACAAUGGGCGAAAGCCUGAUCCAGCAAUGCCGCGUGUGUGAAGAAGGCCUUCGGGUUGUAAAGCACUUUUGUCCGGAAAGAAAUCCUUGGCCCUAAUACGGUCGGGGGAUGACGGUACCGGAAGAAUAAGCACCGGCUAACUACGUG
rnacentral:rRNA from 1 species